rnacentral:rRNA from 1 species
UAAGACUGGGACGAACUUCGGGAAACCGGGAAGCUAAUACCGGAUAAGAUAUCGAACCGCAUGGUUCGAUAGUGAAAGAUGGUUUUGCUAUCACUUAUAGAUGGACCCGCGCCGUAUUAGCUAGUUGGUGAGGUAACGGCUCACCAAGGCAACGAUACGUAGCCGACCUGAGAGGGUGAUCGGCCACACUGGAACUGAGACACGGUCCAGACUCCUACGGGAGGCAGCAGCG